GAUGAACGCUGGCGGCGUGCUUAACACAUGCAAGUCGAACGAAGCACCUUAUUCUGAUUUCUUCGGAAUGAAAAAUUUGGUGACUGAGUGGCGGACGGGUGAGUAACGCGUGGGUAACCUGCCUCAUACAGGGGGAUAACAGUUAGAAAUGACUGCUAAUACCGCAUAAGACCACAGCACCGCAUGGUGCAGGGGUAAAAACUCCGGUGGUAUGAGAUGGACCCGCGUCUGAUUAGGUAGUUGGUGGGGUAACGGCCUACCAAGCCGACGAUCAGUAGCCGACCUGAGAGGGUGACCGGCCACAUUGGGACUGAGACACGGCCCAAACUCCUACGGGAGGCAGCAGUGGGGAAUAUUGCACAAUGGGGGAAACCCUGAUGCAGCGACGCCGCGUGAGCGAUGAAGUAUUUCGGUAUGUAAAGCUCUAUCAGCAGGGAAGAAAAUGACGGUACCUGACUAAGAAGCACCGGCUAAAUACGUGCCAGCAGCCGCGGUAAUACGUAUGGUGCAAGCGUUAUCCGGAUUUACUGGGUGUAAAGGGAGCGUAGACGGAGUGGCAAGUCUGAUGUGAAAACCCGGGGCUCAACCCCGGGACUGCAUUGGAAACUGUCAAUCUAGAGUACCGGAGAGGUAAGCGGAAUUCCUAGUGUAGCGGUGAAAUGCGUAGAUAUUAGGAGGAACACCAGUGGCGAAGGCGGCUU
rnacentral:rRNA from 1 species